rnacentral:rRNA from 1 species
CCUACGGGUGGCAGCAGUCGAGAAUCAUUCACAAUGGGGGAAACCCUGAUGGUGCGACGCCGCGUGGGGGAAUGAAGGUCUUCGGAUUGUAAACCCCUGUCAUGUGGGAGCAAAUUAAAAAGAUAGUACCACAAGAGGAAGAGACGGCUAACUCUGUGCCAGCAGCCGCGGUAAUACAGAGGUCUCAAGCGUUGUUCGGAAUCACUGGGCGUAAAGCGUGCGUAGGCUGUUUCGUAAGUCGGGUGUGAAAGGCGCGGGCUCAACCCGCGGACGGCACAUGAUACUGCGAGACUAGAGUAAGGGAGGGGGAACCGGAAUUCUCGGUGUAGCAGUGAAAUGCGUAGAUAUCGAGAGGAACACUCGUGGCGAAGGCGGGUUCCUGGACAUUAACUGACGCUGAGGCACGAAGGCCAGGGGAGCGAAAGGGAUUAGAUACCCUAGUAGUC